UUUUUCGCCCCGCCCUUCAAAUGUGAAAGCGACUGCCUUUUUGUGAUAUGGUUUUCGAUUACUAAGUAUUCGAAAUCCUCAUACCAGCAACAGAAAUGAACCACUUCCAAAUUCUAAGAUACAAAAGACCAAAGAGAAGCAAAAGCGAUACAAAUUAAUAUGUGCCCCUCUCCUUUCUGCUCUAAGGGAAUCUACAAACCAGUAUCACAUUUAGGAGUCAAAGUGUUAAUUCUUCAGCAUUCCUGACAACUAGAAAGCACAUUCACUGAAGGCUGAAGGUGAGGGAGUGGAUGGUUUAACUUUAAUAUCUGAAGAAUGGCGCCAAUAGAGGAAAGAAAACCAUCCAAUCUCAGUAAGGAUUAAUGCAAAUUUGGCUAGAAAAAGCCACCAGGUAAUCCAAGGGUUCACUGUGGAAGAACUCAUGAAAAGUACUCUGAAGUAUACACAACAGGUCUAAACAUCUCCCUUGUCGUAAGUAGUUGUGUAAAAUUCAAGAUAAAGAUUUAGUCUCAUCUUUUAAUGUCAGUUUUUUCCCCCAUGUUAAAGGGAAUGAGGAGGAGUCCUCUUUUAUUCCCCCACAAGAAAAAGGGAGUCACAUUAAUAUGUGUAUAUUCCCAUAACUCUAAUGUAAGUGCGGAUCUCCAAAGCCUAGGGAUUUUUCCGUAAAGAGAGUGGGCCGUUCUGGUUACCCUUUUAUUAGAAGGGUAUUCCACCACAGAGAGCCGGAGGUUUUCCAGAUGUGUAUAAGAGAGCAGGUGCGCGAGGCAAGCAAAUGAGCGCAAACAGUAUUAUGGAAAACAUUUGAGAAGUUAGCUCCAUGAGGACUGUGGGCUCCACAAGAGGACUCAACUGGGUAGCCUGGUCUGACACAGGAACGUGAAAGCAGAGUAUUGCUUCAAAGCUGGAAACCUUCCAUAGGAGCCUCACACUGUUGGAAGAUGUACUGCUGCUGGUUAAGGUCAACCUGGGGUGCAAUGCUGCUGUCUUCAUCUUCAGUCCCGAAGUAAUGCUCAAUAAGAUCAAAAGCCUUUUGGUAGAUCUCCUGGUUUUCAUGACUCUGUAAGAACUCAAUUUUAUCCAGACCUAAAAUGAAGAAUAAAGGAAAAUCUUUAUUGAAAACUUCAAUAAAUAUUGGAAAUUCCAUAACUAUA
rnacentral:antisense_RNA from 1 species